rnacentral:rRNA from 1 species
GGAUGAACGCUGGCGGCGUGCAUAACACAUUCAAGUCGAACGGGAAUCAGAGGUUAGCUUGCUAAACUCUGAGGAUAGUGGCGGACGGGUGAGUAACGCGUGAGCAACCUACCUUAAUGAGGGGGAUAACACAGGGAAACUUGUGCUAAUACCGCAUAACGUAUCGGAAUCGCAUGUUUCUGAUACCAAAGCUCCGACGCAUUAAGAUGGGCUCGCGUCCGAUUAGAUAGUUGGUGGGGUAACGGCCUACCAAGUCGACGAUCGGUAGCCGGACUGAGAGGUUGAACGGCCACAUUGGAACUGAGAUACGGUCCAGACUCCUACGGGAGGCAGCAGUGGGGAAUAUUGGGCAAUGGGCGAAAGCCUGACCCAGCGACGCCGCGUGAGGGAAGAAGGUCUUCGGAUUGUAAACCUUAGUCAACAGGGAAGAAGAAAGUGACGGUACCUGUGGAGGAAGCCACGGCUAACUACGUG